AUUGAACGCUGGCGGCAUGCCUAACACAUGCAAGUCGAACGGCAGCACGAUGUGUAGCAAUACACAUGGGUGGCGAGUGGCGGACGGGUGAGUAGAAAGUAGGGAUCUGCCUUAUAGAUUGGGAUAACUUGGGGAAACUCGAGCUAAUACCGGAUAAGCACUACGGUGGAAAGCAUGGGACCGAAAGGCCAUGCGCUAUAAGAUGAACCUACGUCGGAUUAGCUAGUUGGUUAGGUAAAGGCUGACCAAGGCGAAGAUCCGUAGCUGGUCUGAGAGGAUGAUCAGCCACACUGGGACUGAGACACGGCCCAGACUCCUACGGGAGGCAGCAGUGGGGAAUAUUGGACAAUGGGGCAACCCUGAUCCAGCGAUGCCGCGUGUGCGAAGAAGGCCUGCGGGUUGUAAAGCACUUUUGUCAGGGAAGAAACGGUGGAGGNUAAUAUCCUUUGUCUAAUGACGGUACCUGAAGAAUAAGCACCGG
rnacentral:rRNA from 1 species